rnacentral:rRNA from 1 species
GACGAACGCUGGCGGCGUGCUUAACACAUGCAAGUCGAACGGAAAGGCCCGGCUUUUGCGGGGUGCUUGUGUGGCGAACGGGUGAGUAACACGUGAGUAACCUGCCCUUGACUGUGGGAUAACUUCAGGAAAAUGGGGCGAAUACCGGAUAGGAGCUCCUGCUGCAUGGGGGGGGUAGGAAAGAUUCGGCGGUGGGGGAUGGACUCGCGGCUUAUCAGCUUGUUGGGGGGGUAGUGGCUUACGAAGGCUUUGAAGGGUAGCCGGCCUGAGAGGGUGACCGGCCACAUUGGGACUGAGAUACGGCCCAGACUCCUACGGGAGGCAGCAGUGGGGAAUAUUGCACAAUGGGCGGAAGCCUGAUGCAGCAACGCCGCGUGCGGGAUGACGGCCUUCGGGUUGUAAACCGCUUUCGCCUGUGACGAAGCGUGAGUGACGGUAAUGGGUAAAGAAGCACCGGCUAACUACGUG